AUUGAACGCUGGCGGAAUGCUUUACACAUGCAAGUCGAGCGGCAGCGCGGGGCAACCUGGCGGCGAGCGGCGAACGGGUGAGUAAUGCAUCGGAACAUGUCCAUGUCGUGGGGGAUAGCCCGGCGAAAGCCGGAUUAAUACCGCAUACGCUCGAGAGAGGAAAGCCGGGGACCGCAAGGCCUGGCGCGAUUGGGUUGGCCGAUGUCCGAUUAGCUAGUUGGUGAGGUAAAGGCUUACCAAGGCGAUGAUCGGUAGCUGGUCUGAGAGGAUGAUCAGCCACACUGGGACUGAGACACGGCCCAGACUCCUACGGGAGGCAGCAGUGGGGAAUUUUGGACAAUGGGCGCAAGCCUGAUCCAGCAAUGCCGCGUGCAGGAAGAAGGCCUUCGGGUUGUAAACUGCUUUUGUACGGAGCGAAGAGGUCCUUUCUAAUACAGAGGGCUCAUGACGGUACCGUAAGAAUAAGCACCGGCUAACUACGUGCCAGCCGCCGCCGUAAAAC
rnacentral:rRNA from 1 species